AGUGAACGCUGGCGGUAGGCCUAACACAUGCAAGUCGAACGGCAGCACAGUAAGAGCUUGCUCUUACGGGUGGCGAGUGGCGGACGGGUGAGGAAUACAUCGGAAUCUACUUUUUCGUGGGGGAUAACGUAGGGAAACUUACGCUAAUACCGCAUACGACCUACGGGUGAAAGCAGGGGAUCUUCGGACCUUGCGCGAUUGAAUGAGCCGAUGUCGGAUUAGCUAGUUGGCGGGGUAAAGGCCCACCAAGGCGACGAUCCGUAGCUGGUCUGAGAGGAUGAUCAGCCACACUGGAACUGAGACACGGUCCAGACUCCUACGGGAGGCAGCAGUGGGGAAUAUUGGACAAUGGGCGCAAGCCUGAUCCAGCCAUACCGCGUGGGUGAAGAAGGCCUUCGGGUUGUAAAGCCCUUUUGUUGGGAAAGAAAAGCAGCAGGUUAAUACCCCGCUGUUCUGACGGUACCCAAAGAUAAGCACCGGCUAACUUCGUG
rnacentral:rRNA from 1 species